AUGUGCGUUCAUGGCUGUAAGUGGUGCUGCAGGGCCGGGGGGGGAUUGGGGCGCAGUGCGGGGGGCGCCGCCCCGCCUUCAUUGGGAGACCCAGCGCCUUCUUUUGGUUGUACCUUUGUCUCUGUACAGAUAUUUUGUAAUAUAUUAAAAACAAAAAAAAUCGGGUUUUUUUUUUUUUUUUUUCCUUUUCGGUUUAUAGAAAUGGGAAGCGGAGGUCGGAGGAAUGAAACCUUCCUGUUGCUGUCCGGCCUGUCGCUCCAUUGCCCCGCAUUGCGCUCCUGGCUGCCCGCCUUCCUCCCCAGCAAAGGCCCUUUUCCACAGCAGCGCCUGCCGUGGGGCUGGGCUGGACCCCCCCUCGUGCCCCCAGCCCUGGCUGUGCUCUGUGGGUGCUCUGAGACCCCCCGGGGCUGUGGGGUUCUGCCUCCCCCACCCCUUUGGGGCGGCCAUAUGGGGAUGGGCGCGUUGCUCUUUCUCGGGUGGCUGCUGCCCCUCCUGGCUGAUGGCCGCCCCACAGGGGGGCUUCGUGCCGCUGGGUGCCCCCGACCCCUGUGCUCAGUGGUGGUUUUUGGGGUGCUGUGGCCUCGCUGGGGGCUCGGUGUGAGGGUGGAGGAGUGGAGCCCCAGGGACACACUGACCCUGUGGGGCUGCAGCAGCUGGGGCUCAGGACUUGGAGCCCCCCCAGCUGGGAGGGUCCCUGCGCCCCGUGGCUCCGUGGCCGUGCCUCCCCCCCGCGCCCAUCUCCUCCUCCAGCCCCGCUCCCUCUCACCCGGUUUAGCAUCUCCGCCGCUGACACGUCUUAAAAUACAUCCGUGUGCAGAUGGCGGGGGGGCGGGGGAGGCCUGGCAGCGCCGUGCUCUGCCUGGGGGGGAGGCGGUGAGCGUGCCAGCAGCCCCGCCGGGAUGGGGUGCCCUGCCGCCAUCCCCUCCAUUCACAAGCAGGGACAGGCGGGGUGUCCGUCCUCCCACCCUCAUCCAUCCCCUGCCCGGGGCGUCACGCGGGCGCACCAUAAGGAUGCCCCAUAGCCCCAAACCCAAGAGCAAAGCCCUUACGACCAUCGCAGUGUGCCCGCCUCCCCCAGGGAAACCCGGUCCUUAUUGCAGCCCAAAGCCCAGCGUUAAUCCCGGCUCCUGCACACACCCGGCCCGGCCCAAGGUGACCAGAGCGUUUCCUUCCAUUUAA
rnacentral:lncRNA from 1 species